rnacentral:rRNA from 1 species
GACGAACGCUGGCGGCGUGCUUAACACAUGCAAGUCGAACGGAAAGGCCCUGCUUUUGUGGGGUGCUCGAGUGGCGAACGGGUGAGUAACACGUGAGUAACCUGCCCUUGACUUUGGGAUAACUUCAGGAAACUGGGGCUAAUACCGGAUAGGAGCUCCUGCUGCAUGGUGGGGGUUGGAAAGUUUCGGCGGUUGGGGAUGGACUCGCGGCUUAUCAGCUUGUUGGUGGGGUAGUGGCUUACCAAGGCUUUGACGGGUAGCCGGCCUGAGAGGGUGACCGGCCACAUUGGGACUGGGAUACGGCCCACACUCCUACGGGAGGCAGCAGUGGGGAAUAUUGCACAAUGGGCGGAAGCCUGAUGCAGCAACGCCGCGUGCGGGAUGACGGCCUUCGGGUUGUAAACCGCUUUCGCCUGUGACGAAGCGUGAGUGACGGUAAUGGGUAAAGAAGCACCGGCUAACUACGUG